UACAGAGGGCGCGAGCGUUGCUCGGAAUCACUGGGCGUAAAGCGUACGCAGGCGGAUCGUUAAGUCGGGUGUGAAAGCCCGGGGCUCAACCCCGGAAUUGCAUUCGAUACUGGCGGUCUUGAGUGCGGGAGAGGUGAGUGGAAUUCCUGGUGUAGAGGUGAAAUUCGUAGAUAUCAGGAGGAACACCGGUGGCGAAAGCGGCUCACUGGCCCGACACUGACGCUCAUGUACGAAAGCGUGGGGAGCAAACAGG
rnacentral:rRNA from 1 species